rnacentral:antisense_RNA from 1 species
AGAGGAACUGGACACCAGGAGCCUCAUACCAGGACUGCCCAGCCGAGCCACUCGAUUCCUGACCCACAUGGCCCUUGAGAUGACAAGUGAUUGAUUGCUGCUUAAAGUCACUGAGUUCUGGAAUAAUUUACAUCAUGGCAAUAGAAAAUGUAGAGAGGGGACAGCCUAUGUAAGAGCAUACAAGGCCAGAGAUUCAGGCUGGAGGAAAAAGAUGUCUAUUCUUCCCUGUGUGCAUGGACGAGCCUGGAAACAGAUCUUGGGUGGGCUGAGAAGCAGAGCUCAUGUGAUGAAGAGUGCCUGGAAAGGGCAGGUGCCAAAAGAGCACCACUCCCCAUCUGCCCGACCUUCUGCGAAACAAGCCCGCCCUUGAAGGAGAGAAAACGCUCUUCUAAAAAUGGAAGAAAAGACAGACACAGAACAGCUUGUCCCUUUCCAUCCAAUUAAAAACCUCGUGAGACUGAACUAGAUUAAAAACAAAACUCUCCAGCGAAGCCGCAGGCGCCUCCAAGAUAGGGAGUCCACCACCAAUAAAGUACGGCAGAUGCCAGCA